CCAGACUCCUACGGGAGGCAGCAGUGGGGAGUAUUGGGCAAUGGAGGCAACUCUGACCCAGCAACGCCGCGUGAAUGAUGAAGGUCUUCGGAUUGUAAAGUUCUUUUCUAAGGGAGGAAGAAAGUGACGGUACCUUAGGAAGAAGCCCCGGCUAACUACGUGCCAGCAGCCGCGGUAAUACGUAGGGGGCAAGCGUUAUCCGGAUUUACUGGGUGUAAAGGGGGCGCAGACGGCGAUGCAAGCCAGGAGUGAAAGCCCGGGGCCCAACCCCGGGACUGCUCUUGGAACUGCGUGGCUAGAGUGCAGGAGGGGCAGGCGGAAUUCCUGGUGUAGCGGUGAAAUGCGUAGAUAUCAGGAGGAACACCGGUGACGAAGGCGGCCUGCUGGACUGCAACUGACGUUGAGGCUCGAAAGCGUGGGGAGCAAACAGGAUUAGAUACCCGAGUA
rnacentral:rRNA from 1 species